rnacentral:rRNA from 1 species
AAACCAGCAUCUCAAGUGGUCAGGAGGAUUAUUGGGCCUAAAGCAUCCGUGGCCUGUUCUGUAAGUUUUCGGUUAAAUCCACUAGCUCAACUAGUGGGCUGCCGAAAAUACUGUAGAACUAGGGAGUGGGAGAGGUAGACGGUAUUCGGUAGGAAGGGGUAAAAUCCUUUGAUCUAUUGAGGACCACCUGUGGCGAAGGCGGUCUACCAGAACACGUUCGACGGUGAGGGAUGAAAGCUGGGGGAGCAAACCGGAUUAGAAACCCCGGUAGUCC